ACUCAAAGGAAUAGACGGGGGCCCGCACAAGCAGCGGAGCGUGUGGUUUAAUUCGAGGCUACGCGAAGAACCUUACCCAGACUUGACAUGUAGGUGGUAGUGAAGCGAAAGUGGAACGACCCUUCGGGGAGCCUACACAGGUGAUGCAUGGCUGUCGUCAGCUCGUGCCGUGAGGUGUUUGGUUAAGUCCAGUAACGAGCGCAACCCUUACCGCCAGUUACAAGUGUCUGGUGGGACUGCCGGUCUUAAGCCGGAGGAAGGUGGGGAUGACGUCAAGUCAGCAUGUCCUUUAUGUCUGGGGCUACACACACGCUACAAUGGGCGGUACAGUGGGUCGCCAACUCGCGAGAGGGAGCCAAUCCUACAAAACCGUCCUCAGUUCAGAUUGCAGGCUGCAACUCGCCUGCAUGAAGUCGGAGUUGCUAGUAAACGCAGGACAGCCAUACUGCGUUGAAUACGUUCCCGGGCCUUGUACACACCGCCCGU
rnacentral:rRNA from 1 species